CUUUUCCCCCCACCUGUUACACACAGCUCUUGUCAGUUUCACUGUUGCACUCGCCAUUUUGUGUCCUGCUGCAGAGAUUCUCCAUGCCUUCGCCAUUUGGUAAAGGUUUUCCACAGAGAUCUCCUCUGUUUGCUGCUCUUCCAU